rnacentral:rRNA from 1 species
AUUGAACGCUGGCGGCAGGCUUAACACAUGCAAGUCGAGCGGGGGAAGGUAGCUUGCUACCGGACCUAGCGGCGGACGGGUGAGUAAUGCUUAGGAAUCUGCCUAUUAGUGGGGGACAACAUCGCGAAAGGGAUGCUAAUACCGCAUACGUCCUACGGGAGAAAGAAGGGGAUCUUCGGACCUUGCGCUAAUAGAUGAGCCUAAGUCGGAUUAGCUAGUUGGUGGGGUAAAGGCCUACCAAGGCGACGAUCUGUAGCGGGUCUGAGAGGAUGAUCCGCCACACUGGGACUGAGACACGGCCCAGACUCCUACGGGAGGCAGCAGUGGGGAAUAUUGGACAAUGGGGGGAACCCUGAUCCAGCCAUGCCGCGUGUGUGAAGAAGGCCUUAUGGUUGUAAAGCACUUUAAGCGAGGAGGAGGCUACUUUAGUUAAUACCUAGAGAUAGUGGACGUUACUCGCAGAAUAAGCACCGGCUAACUCUGUGCCAGCCGCCGCAGUAAUAC